UGGUCACUGGUCAUCGUCUUCUACUUGUUUAUGAUCAGCUACUCAUUUCCUUCACCAUAUUCUUCUUCAGUCGUUUCAAUCUCAGAAUCUAAAUCUUAAAUGGCUGAGGCCAUAGUAGGUUUUGUGAUCGAAAGGCUUGGAGACUUGCUCAUAAACGAAGCUAACUUCUUGUAUGGAGUGAGAGACCAAGUCGAGGAUGCAAAAGCCGAGCUCCAACGAAUCAAAUGCUUUCUCGAAGACGCAGAUGCCCGCGCGAGGCAAGGAGACAAGUCUCUUCGCCUUCAUGUCUCUGAAAUUGGUGAUGCUGCUUAUGAUUUGGAGGAUGUCAUCGCCACUUUCGUCCUGAAAGAGUCCGCUAGGUCUGGUAGUAGUAGUAGCAGUGGUAGUUUUAGUAGAAGGCUCUCUUGUGGCAACUUCAUCGAUCUUCAUAAGGUUGGAUCGAGAAUCGAUAAAAUUUCUGCUAGGAUUUCUAAGUCCAGGUUGAGUUUUCAAGCUUAUGGGCUGGUUAAAUCGAGGGGAAACGAUGCUUCAACUUCUUCCAGCGUCGACAGGCAAAACUUUAGGCGAACCUUCUCUCACAACGUCGAUUCUGAUUUCGUUGGGUUUGAGGAAAACAUCAGCGAAUUGGUGGGGCAUUUGAAGAAACAAGGGAGAAAUCUGCAUAGUGUUGUGUCCAUUUGUGGGAUGGGUGGUCUUGGAAAAACUACUCUUGCUAGACAGGUGUACUAUCAUGGUGAAAUUAGGCGUCAUUUUGAUUGUUUUGCUUGGGCUUCUGUAUCUCAAAGAUGCCAACCCAGGGACGUUUGGGAAGGGAUUUUGAUUAGACUGACUUCUCCUGCAGCAGAAAGAAGGAGAGAGAUCAAAGGAAUGAGAGACGAUGAAAUAGCCAAGGCUCUUUACAAGGUUCAUACAGAAAAAAGGUGUCUUGUUGUUCUUGAUGAUAUUUGGAAUGCUUCAACAUGGAACUGCCUCAAGCAUGCUUUCCCCAAUGUUAGGUCAGACAGUAAAAUACUGCUCACCACUCGCAAUAGAGAGGUGGCCUUCCAUGCAGAUCGAAAUAGCAUUCUCCAUGAGCCCAGAUGCUUUAACACAAACGAAACAUGGGAGUUGUUUAUGAUCAAAACUUAUUUUGGAGGGGAUGACACAGAUUCGGAAGAUUACAAGAAGAAGAAAAAGUUAGCAGGGGAGAUGCUUGAAUACUGUGGUGGUUUGCCAUUAGCCAUUACAGUGCUCGGAGGACUUCUAUCUCGUAAACAAACUGUGGAUGAGUGGGAGGCGUUGCAUAAGAAUAUUAAGACAUGUAUAAGGAAAGGAAAAGUAAAUGAGCAAGAAGAUUCUAACUUUGGUCUCUCUUGGGUGUUGGGUUUAAGUUAUGAUGAGCUACCAUACCAUUUAAAGCCGUGCUUUUUGCAUUUAGCUUAUUUUCCAGAAGAUUUUGAAAUAAGGGCUAGAGAUUUAUGCCUAGUAUGGUUGGCAGAAGGCUUUGUAUCGAACGAGGAAAGAGCAUAUGAGUGCUUAAGUGAGUUGGUUGAGAGGUGCAUAAUUCAAGUGGCAGAGUGGAGCUCAACUGGCACAAUUAAAACAUGCCGUAUCCAUGACCUCAUGCGGGAUUUGUGCUUAUCAAAGGCUGAGGAGGAAAAUUUUCUGCAGCAUGCUGAUCUACGUAAUCAUCAUGAGGUAACAAAUUCUUCCUCUGUUGGAGCUGCAACAAAUUUAGAGCCAAUUAAUAAGAUUCGUAGACUUGCCAUCUAUUCGAACAACAUUGGUACUGAUGAAUUGCUUUCUUUGAUAAGACAUAAGGAUGGUUGCCUUAGGUCUCUAAUAUGCUUCAAUUCAGAACCAGAUACAUCUUAUGAGCGAGUAAUGAAGCCACUGCUCAAUCAAUUCCAUUUGCUUAGAGUUUUGAAGUUUGAAAAUUAUACUCACGGUCAUGUUGGAAAGUUGCCUAACGAAAUUGGAAAUCUUAUUCACUUGAGGCUAUUUAGUCUCAAGGAUAGUGAUGUGGAAAAGUUUCCAUCAUCCAUAGGCAAUUUGAGAUGUCUGCAAACUUUAGAUUUGAGGGUUAAAGACCUGUAUAAUCACAAACGACUUCAACUUUCAGAAAUACCACCUGUCCUUUGGAAAUUAGAGCAGUUGAGACAUUUGUAUCUGCCUCAAAACUAUUUGACAAGCCUUCAGAGAAGCCAUUUUACAGCUACUCACUUUGAGAGUAUUUUGCGGUUGGGUGAUCUAACCAAUUUGCAAACAUUGGUGAAUGUUUCAGCGAAUUAUUAUUUUUUGAAUAAUUUGGAGAAACUAACCAAUCUUACCAAAUUAAAAACAAAUUUGGGUUCUUGCUUCCAGGGCACAAGAAUUAAAUUUAAUAAUCUUAGAUCUCUAUCCAUUUAUUAUAAGGAUAUCAUUGAAGGGGAGUACGAUGAAGAUCAGCUUCCAGCAAGACGAGUACCUAAAUUCUCUCACUAUGAGAUAAUACUUCUUUUACUGAGCUGUCCUCAAAUUUAUAAACUUCAUCUGCAUGUUCCAAUUGAGAAGUUACCGGAAGAAAAUCAAUUUUCUUCAAAUCUCAUCAAGUUAACGCUGCUUCGAACUCGUCUUAAGGAUGACCCAAUGGAAACAUUAGAAAAGCUUCCAAGUUUAAGGAUUCUCCUCCUCGAUCAUAAUGCCUUCCUAGGACAGAAAAUGAUUUGCGCCAGUAAAGGUUUUCCACGACUUGAGUCUCUUUCCAUCUGUUAUCUUUAUGAUUUCAUAGAGUGGAAUGUGGAAGAAGGGGCCUUGCCUAGCCUUAAUCGCUUGCAUAUUGUAAACUGCUUAAGGUUGAGGACAGUUCCGGAUGGCCUGAGAUAUGUUAUUACUCUCAAGGAAAUUGUGAUCAAACACAUGCUUAGGCAAUUUAAAAAGAAGGUUGAACAAGGAGGAGAGGAUUUCUACAAAGUCCAACAUGUGCCUUCCCUUGUAUUCACCAAUACUUUGGACUUCUAGCUAGCUGGAUUGAUUAAUGAUUGUCUGUAACUGAUAGAAGUUCUACAGGUGCCCUGUUUGGAAGUAUGAAAUGAAGCUGUUAAAAAAGAACAAGGCGUCUUUGCCUUAAUACUAAACAUGCAAUGCAUGCAGUGUCAUGGGGGAGGUGAAGUAGAGCCGGUGUGAAGUAGUGAUAAUGAUACCCUUAGUUCUCCUAAAGGGAGUAACAAUAAUCCAAGCUGAGAAGAACUAAAGGAGCUGUUGUCUGUUUUGCCUCAUGCUCGUGCGAAGUAAUGGUUUGAAUUUGAUGUUGACACUCGCUGGGACAUUGUAAAAUAGAGGAGUUGGGAGUGGUAAACAUGGCUAGCUAGCUUCAUAACUGCUCUCAGGUUCGAAACCCAGCAACUACACUAAAAAAAGCUCUGUUGUCUCCUGGGACCUGGCAGUGGGGCCCGCGGCAUAUCCAAAGUUAAAAAAAAAAAAACAAGAGACUGCAAACCAAAGUCACUGUCAAAUUAUUGCAGGAUUCUAUCGUGGCGGGCUCUUAGCUAGGUACCAACAAAAGAUGUUGUAGUUCUGGAGAGCAUCCUUCCGAUAUCAAAGGCUAUAAGUUCAACUCUGGCCCCGCUUUGUUUUGUGGCUUUCAAUCCAGAGGUCCUCAGGUCAACCCUUUUGAAAAAGUAACUUAUUCCUCUUCUCUUCUCUUCUCAAUGUAUUUCUCUAUAAUUUAUGGGAAUGAAGAUAAAUAAAAAUAGAAAUUUAAUAUGUU